CUCUGGCCAGGACGCUUUUACAUCCGGAGGGUGGGCAGUGCCCGCUCCUCCGACCUCCCUGCGCACCAGCGGGGCGCAGGGAGGACCGGGGGCGGGGCCUGACCGGCCGAGGGAGCUGAGGACACGUCGGAGAAAUUCAGACCGCAUGGUGGGGUGCUGUCCCCUCUCCACCCUGCAGCCAGCCUGCCCACACGAAAGGCCUAACUGCUAAGGUGCAGGACCAGGCCUCAGCGUUCGGGCCUCAAGACAUGAUUACAUCAAUGCCCCACUUCUCUGGUACCUUCUCUUCGCCUACUAUCUCGGGGGCCUCUCUGACCCGUUCAGUAUGCCUAUGCCCUUUGUGCACAGGAUAUGAAGCCUAGAACCUCCUAGAUUCUACUAGACAAGGCCCAGUUUCCAAGGACUUUCGGUCAAGGACUUAGUAGGCUCUCUGCUGAACAGACUCAGAAUGUAGUGGGAUGCCUGCAGCCUCUCCAAGGGUUUUGACAGUCUCAGGCCUCCCUCCCGGGCUGUAGCAGCAACUAAGUGGAAGGAUCAAGGCCAUGACUGCAAGAAGUGGGUAACUGGGACUUGUAUAAUAGAUUGGGGUGUGGGAGGGGAUGGUGUGUGUAACUGGACUGGUGCCCUAGCCUGUCCUUGAAAGCUUAAGGACAGACAGCUAAGAAAGGGAGGCUGUCAAGAGGUCGUUUCUUGGGCCCUAAGUGGCUGGCCAUCCAGGGACUGACAAUGACAGUGACCUGUCCCACUGGCCUAGGGCAGGUCUAAGGAGGGUAGUUUGGAGAUUAGGUGGGCCACAGGGUCUUUCCCCCUUUCCUGAGCAGGGAUAGCUUAUUGUCUCCUGCUGGAUAGGAGAGCCCAGUCUUGGGCAGGUGCAUAAGGUCGCAGUAGUUAUGGAGAGAUACAGCAGUAUCAAAGAUAGUCCACCGCGCCUCUAUAAGUUGAGUCCCACGUGAGGAUGUAGGGGCAGGGCUCUGGCAGGCGAUUUUGCAUUAUAGGGAUGUACCUCAUCCCAGGGUGGAGAAGCUGAGGUCUUCCCCAGUACCUCCCCACAACCCGCCAGGGCUGCAGCCACAUCCUGGACCUCAGUGCGGCUAAUACUGAGAAGUGAAAGUGAAAAACUUCGGGAACUCCUGGUUGCUCUGGGUCAGCCCUGGGGUCCGUCCUGACGCCCCUAGCGUCACCUGCAGUGACAGGAGAAGUCUUCCUGCUGUGGCUGCACUUGCAAGCUACAGUUGGGUCAGUAAACACUUCACAGCAAACAAUGCCCCUGAGCAGAGGCUGGGAAUGUGUCAGGGCCCCGCUUAACAUGUUCUGUGGAUGGUUAGCUCGCUCCACUCGCAUCGGUCACCCUCAUCCUUCCUUCCCAACUCCCCCCCCCCCCAACUAGCCAUUACUGUAGAAAAUUGGAACCCCUAGAAAGACUAGCUUAAGAAACCCGAAACCCUGCAAGUGCCGGUCCACUCAAGCCUCCCGCCUGCUAUAGAGCAACCGCCUCUACUCACUACAGGACCCGACUCUUAGGACCGCCCUUUCCCUGAGCACAGCACCGAAACUGUGAGGUCGAUGCCUGGUCGCCCAGUAACUGGCCUGCGCUCCUCUCCUGACGCUGCCUCACGGCCGGCCGGUUCUUGCCCGGAGCGCUAAGGAACGAACCCACUCUGUAGUCCUACACCCUAGCGCGAAGGUUCAGAAUGGACACAGAGCCUUACCCCGGGGAAAUGCUCCUCCCUCACCUGCACCGGCCGCCGCUCCCUUCCGCCUCGCUCCCCCUACCGGCGGCGCUUCCGUCACAGCGGCUUUGUGGCUGGCGGUAUGGGCUCCUGGCUGCACCCAGCACCGUCGCUGGAUUCUGUGGCAACUCACACACUCCUUGGUCGGCCAUCUGCAGGGUCGGACGCGAAACCAGUAGAAUUCCUGAAGUUCCCAAUGCGAAGGGAGGCAGACCCCUAGAGAUUCCUGCCUACCUCGCUCUGGCUCGGCUCCGCCUCCCUUGGGUACACAUGGCUGCCCCAGGGGAGCGGGCAGACCAGCCCCUCACACCCACCAGCCCCACUCCUCACUCCCUGUCUAUUGUAAAGACGCGGGCCUCUCAGAGCUUGGCUGCUAGCCGCAGAUGUUUCUGCGCACCUUCGUCUCUGGCAGCCUGACAGCCCACGGAUCUUAGGCCUUACUGGCUCCCCGAACAAAGUGCGCGGGCCCAGAGGGCUCCCAGCAUUGAUUCCUGGCUGCUUGGAGCAAAAUGCAUACAGGUGGACCCGCUCAGAGAUCGGGGCGCAGGGGUCCCCUCCUCCAGAAAUCAGAACAUGGAGGGCAGGCUCGGGCUAUGUUCCCAAAGGUGAUGAGGGAGGCUCGGAGAGAGGCUGGGCUUUACGUGACCCAGUGAUUCAGGAUUGAUAGCUGGAAAUUGCCUCCAUCUCCUCCUGCCUGCACGCGGCCCCAAGCACUCAAAGGAAGCCGGCGGCUAGGCCAGGAACAACUUCCCCGACAGGGUUGACGUCGGCGGCUCUGCCUCGGCGUCCGGGACGAGGACCCGCGGAAGUCUCCGAGGCGCAGGGUUCGACCUUCGCCGGAGCCGGGAGCCGUGGGCUUGCAGGAGACUCUGCACUCUUUCCCUCUCUCAGCCCCCUGGCGGCUGCCUCCGCAGGAACCCAGGCCCCUCCGGCGCGCUCCGUCGUCAGUUUGUCCACGCACGUGACUGGCCCGAGGCUAUAACCGAGCCAUUCUGGGUGACCCUGGGGGACAAGGGCAGAUCAGGAGACACACCCACCCACCAGCUCUGGAGGCACGCAGAGCAGAGGAGCCAUGAGAGUGAGAUGGAGCCACAUGGUGAGAUGCGUUCCGUGGUAGAUACUGUGGUGGGCCCCUGGCCUCAGUUUUGUCACCUGGAAACAAUGUGAAGAGUGCCACAGACCCUGGAAAAUGGGCAGACCAAGCUCAUGCCUCUCACCUCCUCUGCUGAUGUCACCACUACUGAGCUCCCUUGGGGCCUUCCUACAUCCCAGCUGGUCCCUGAGCACUCUGAGAUGACCAUUGCCUGUGCCAUACUGCUGAAGUCUAGCCUGGAAUCAGAGAGAGAAAGCCCCAGGAGCUCACCCCAGGAAUGUCUAGUUAGGCACCCUCUGCUCAAUUUCCAUUGGUCCCUAAGUCACAAUGCAGCCUAGAUUUCCCAGGUCCAAGAGCAUAGCCCAGUCCCACCCAGGCCCUGACAAAUCCCUUCUCUGGGACUUUGCUGAGCUAGCUUGGAAUUUCUCAAAAACAAACAAAUGGGGGAGUCCAGAGCUGUGGUUCCCAGAGCUAAGAAAGGUUCUUCCUGCGUUGGCCUGAGUCUGAGCUGGCUGAGGUUCCAGGCCUGCUGGGCUAGACCCAAGCUCAGAACUUCAAGUCAGGGCAACACCACCCGGUCCUGCCCCUUAAUCAUCAGCUGAGAAUGGCAGGAGUCUGGGCGGUCAGUGAACAGGAUCCAGGACAGGGACAGACAGCCACUAGUGGCUGCCUGGGCUGAGGUAUCUUGGUAGGUGGCUGGGGCUUGUAUGGUGAGGGGUGGCCUGGAGCUUGUAUGGCCUGGCUUCAUGUGGAGGUAACUCAAGGCAGCCAUCAGGUGGCAGUGGUGUUGGGUCCUCAGCAGA